UACACUCCAAAUCCCCACGCAAAAGACUUGGUGAAACAUUCAUCUCUAAGCAAUUAGCUCCAUUCUCCCAUCUCAAACCCACUCGGCACUACCCCAAACCGAACCCUCACUUCACCCACUCUUGGCAUUUUAUUUAGUUAAAAUACACCAAGAUGAAACCUACAAGAUCAUUUUUUAGUGGUGAUUCUAUUCUAGCAAGCUUUGUUUAUCUCAAGAGCUCAAGAUUUAUUAUCUUUUUCACUCACAUUCUCCUUGCUUGCUUUAGGCCUUUAGGUGCUUAACAUUGGAACUUGCUGUCUGGGAAGCUGGAGUGGUCAUGGGUCGAGAUACAUGGAAAUACAAUACAAGACUAAUAGCUCUUUACAUGUGGUUUAUAAACACUUAACGAAUGAUUUAUGCUUCUGUUGUAAACUGUGAAUUAAUGUAACGUUGUAACCCUUCUUGUUAAUCAAUAAAAGUUUUAUUUGCAUGUAA